rnacentral:rRNA from 1 species
AAUAAUACCCCGGUAGUCCACGCCGUAAACGAUGUCGAUUUGGAGGUUGUUCCCUUGAGGAGUGGCUUCCGGAGCUAACGCGUUAAAUCGACCGCCUGGGGAGUACGGCCGCAAGGUUAAAACUCAAAUGAAUUGACGGGGGCCCGCACAAGCGGUGGAGCAUGUGGUUUAAUUCGAUGCAACGCGAAGAACCUUACCUACUCUUGACAUCCAGAAAACUUUCCAGAGAUGGAUUGGUGCCUUCGGGAACUCUGAGACAGGUGCUGCAUGGCUGUCGUCAGCUCGUGUUGUGAAAUGUUGGGUUAAGUCCCGCAACGAGCGCAACCCUUAUCCUUUGUUGCCAGCGGUUCGGCCGGGAACUCAAAGGAGACUGCCAGUGAUAAACUGGAGGAAGGUGGGGAUGACGUCAAGUCAUCAUGGCCCUUACGAGUAGGGCUACACACGUGCUACAAUGGCAUAUACAAAGAGAAGCGACCUCGCGAGAGCAAGCGGACCUCAUAAAGUAUGUCGUAGUCCGGAUUGGAGUCUGCAACUCGACU